GGCCUUCCCGCUUUCCUCUUCAGAUUCUCUCUCCUUCUAAUUCUUUUCUGCUAAAAUUCCCAGUUUCUUCUUUCUCUCUCGAGAAUCUCCUUUGAAGAAUCAGGUGGAACUGCAUCUAAUGUUGUCGUUCCGGUUUCUGAUGACGGUUGAAGUAUAUACUGCACAAAUUGUUGCGUGUACUUGGUUCCGUGGUCAUGGGACUGUUGAAUUAGUGUGCUGAGUUCAGAAUUUGACAGGUAUGAUAUUGUUGAAGGAGUGCACCCUUUAUAGAAUGGUGUAUCAAAACCCCACAGAGAAACCAUCAGAGCCUUUUUGGCUUAUUUCGAAAAUCAGAUGACACAUUACACAGAUCCUCCGGCGGGCAAGUGAAUUGUUUGGUUUCAGCAGAAGGAUGCUGUCAGGUGGGUUCUACAUGAUUGAGGAUUUGAUAUGGAUGAGGAUCCCGCUGCAAUUGAAGGUCGAAAGGCGCAAAUAUCUAUUUGAAGGUGUAAAGGUUCAUUGUUUUCUUUGAAGAAAUGAUUGGGAACCAUUCAUAUGGAAGCUGUAAUUGCUAACUGGAUGGUAAAAAUAUUAAAGCCUCUGUAAGUGGUGUGGGAGCAUGCUAUUCUUCUUUCUGACUGGCUUGCUGGCCCUUUGAUAAAAGAAACUUCAAGACUUGCUGAGGACCAUGCAAGGUAAGAAAGUAGAAUUUAGCAGCCAGUACCUUUUUUCUAAGGGGUAACUCUACCCAAAAACUGUUGAUGAAGCCACAAGAAGAGUGGAUCCCACGCUGUGUUAUAACUUGUAACUUGUAAGUCAUCCCAAGAAAUUCAAGUAUAAAGAAAGACAAAUCUGAUGCAUGGAAUCCCUUGAUUUCUUAACUUCAAAUUUCAGUUCAAAACUUUCUGGUUGGAGGCAACAUAUUCUGUCAUCUGCUGGUAGAACUGUGCUGUAAAAGUCAGUUUUAUCUUCUAUUGCAACACUCUCAAUGGUUGCAUGUAUUCUUCUAAAAGGUGUUUUCAACAUAUAACGAAGAUACAAAGGUCAUUCUGGUGCGGAUAUGACACAUCACACAUAAAGCUUUACUUCGUAUCACGGAGGAAGAUUUGCAAGUCAAAGAUGGAUGGGGAAUAGAGAUAUGGAGUGGGUUAAACUACCUGGAGAUUCCUUACAAAGCCAAAUGCAAUGUGGGUUGAAAUUCCAAAGGCUAGAUAUCUGAAAAAUUCAGAUUUCUGGACUAAAGAAUUCACUACUGGUUGUUCAUCAACAUGGAGUGGCAUAAUUUCAGUUAGACCAAUACUAGCAGAUAACUGCUGCUGGCUAGUUGGAAAUGGCUCUUCUAUCAGAAUAUGGGAAGACCCAUGGAUUCCAGGUUUCAAACCUUCCAUAGCAUGUUUCUGAAUUGUUGUCUCUGCAACAACUAACACAGGUUUGGAAUGUUCUUCACUCACUAUUCUCUCCAACUGAGGCUACUGCUACCAGUUCCAUCCACAUUAUGGGAGACAAUGAACUGAAAGGCUUGAUUAAAAACACCCACAGGUAACUCUACCGCAAAUUCUUGUUAUAAGUUAUUGGCUGGUAAUAUACCUUCAUGCUCUAGUUUGCCUAGAAAUUAUUUUGGAGAAAUAAGCAAAUGUCUCCUAGAAGUCAGACCUUUGCGUGACAACUUUUACAUAACGGCAUUGGUGUGAGGUAUAACAUACAUCGUUUCAUAAACAAAUGUAAGCCUGAAUGUGUUCUACGUAAGUCAGCUCUAGAAUGAUUCAGUGGGUCAUUUAUUCUUUGAAUCUGCUUACUUUAGAAAAGUGUUUGAAGACUCCACCCAUAAUCUGGUUAUUUCACUGAGCAAUAAGCAAGAGACCCUUUAUUUAGAAUUGGUUACAUCAUGAUGAUAAUUUCAAAACUUUCAAUAUUGGUGCUUGCAUUCCGUGGAAAUUUGGGAAUUGAGGAACAGAAUGUUAUUUGAGCAGCAAGAAUUCUCUGGUACCGCAAUUCCGUCACAAGCUUAUGAAGAUUGGUCUUGAUUUCAAACUGCACAGCGAAGAGUCAAUGCACUACGCUUGGCCAUCUACCUUCUCGUUUGCGCACUUCAAGUCUUCAGCAUCUGAAACUCCUACAAAUCAAAGACAAUGGGUUCCUCCUACUUCACACAUAAAGAUUAAUGUGGAUGCUGCCUUCGGAAACACAGAUGGGGUUGCUGCUGCAAUUGCUAGAGAUUCUAACGGAAACAUCUAGGAAGCCUGACCAAAAUCUUUUAUGCUUCUUCUGCUCUUAUGGAAAGCUUUGACUUACUUGCUGGGCUUGGAAAACAUAAAUGUAUCUAAUUGGUGGCAAGACGAGAAUGUAUCUAAUUGGUGGCAAGACAAGAGAGUGAUCAGGAUUAUGAGCUGGCUCUUGUGUCCACCAGUUGAGUUGGUCUGACAGGUAGUUGUGAUUGUAGUUGUACCAGCCGAACCGAAACAAUUAAGCAAGCAAAAAGAACUAAAGUCUUAAACUGCAAGAGUUUAUUUUGACAGG